UGCUGUUGCCAAGGUAAUCCUGCUCGGUAGGAACCCCCAGGUUCAGGCAUUUGGUGUAUGUGCUUGGCUCAGGAGCCAAUGGGGCGAAGCUACCAUCUGUGGGAUUUUGACUCAAUGGCUCUAAGUCAGAAUCCCGCCCAGGCGGAACCAUAGGGCAGCGCUGCGGGGCCUCAGUUGGCCUCGGAGCCUCUAUUGGCCUCGGAUAGCCGGUCUCCCAAUGGCCUGGGAUAGCCGGUCUCCCGCCCUCCCGGCCGGCGGGCAGUUCAGCCCCGCAAGCGCACAGGGACCCGCGGCCGGUCUGGAGAGUCCCUCCUCCUGGGAAACCGGGUGCGGCGGGAAAGGCAGCAGCCCCCUCGCCCAACACGCAAGGCACAUUCGUGGGGAACCUGACAUUAAACCAUUCGUAGAUGACCUGCUUCUGGGUCGGGAUUUCGUAAUGAGCAGAGCAGCUCCCUCGCUGUGAUCUACUGAAAGUCAGCCCUCGACACAAGGGUUU
rnacentral:ncRNA from 1 species